rnacentral:rRNA from 1 species
AGCCUGUGAAGGUGUGUCGUGAGGCAUGCUGGAGGUAUCAGAAGUGCGAAUGCUGACAUAAGUAACGAUAAAGCGGGUGAAAAGCCCGCUCGCCGGAAGACCAAGGGUUCCUGUCCAACGUUAAUCGGGGCAGGGUGAGUCGACCCCUAAGGCGAGGCCGAAAGGCGUAGUCGAUGGGAAACGGGUUAAUAUUCCCGUACUUGGUGUUACUGCGAAGGGGGGACGGAGAAGGCUAUGUUGGCCGGGCGACGGUUGUCCCGGUUUAAGCGUGUAGGUGUGUGUUCCAGGUAAAUCCGGUUCACUUUAACACUGAGGCGUGACGACGAGGCACUACGGUGCUGAAGCAACAAAUGCCCUGCUUCCAGGAAAAGCCUCUAAGCAUCAGGUAACAUCAAAUCGUACCCCAAACCGACACAGGUGGUCAGGUAGAGAAUACCAAGGCGCUUGAGAGAACUCGGGUGAAGGAACUAGGCAAAAUGGUGCCGUAACUUCGGGAGAAGGCACGCUGACACGUAGGUGAAGUGAUUUACUCAUGGAGCUGAAGUCAGUCGAAGAUACCAGCUGGCUGCAACUGUUUAUUAAAAACACAGCACUGUGCAAACACGAAAGUGGACGUAUACGGUGUGACGCCUGCCCGGUGCCGGAAGGUUAAUUGAUGGGGUCAGCGCAAGCGAAGCUCCUGAUCGAAGCCCCGGUAAACGGCGGCCGUAACUAUAACGGUCCUAAGGUAGCGAAAUUCCUUGUCGGGUAAGUUCCGACCUGCACGAAUGGCGUAAUGAUGGCCAGGCUGUCUCCACCCGAGACUCAGUGAAAUUGAACUCGCUGUGAAGAUGCAGUGUACCCGCGGCAAGACGGAAAGACCCCGUGAACCUUUACUAUAGCUUGACACUGAACAUUGAGCCUUGAUGUGUAG